AGAGUUUGAUCCUGGCUCAGGAUGAACGCUAGCGACAGGCUUAACACAUGCAAGUCGAGGGGCAGCGGGGCUUUUGGGCAACCAGAGGCCGCCGGCGACCGGCGCACGGGUGAGUAACGCGUAUGCAACCUGCCCGGCUCAGUGGGAUAACCCGGAGAAAUCCGGACUAAUACCGCAUGCGCCCCCUUGGGGACAUCCCCUUGGGGGCAAAGGAGGCGACUCCGGAGCCGGAUGGGCAUGCGUGGCAUUAGCUGGUUGGCGGGGUAACGGCCCACCAAGGCGACGAUGCCUAGGGGUUCUGAGAGGAAGGUCCCCCACACUGGUACUGAGACACGGACCAGACUCCUACGGGAGGCAGCAGUGAGGAAUAUUGGUCAAUGGGCGGUAGCCUGAACCAGCCAAGUCGCGUGAGGGACGACGGCCCUACGGGUUGUAAACCUCUUUUGCCGGGGAGCAAAGAGCGGGACGCGUCCCGCCUCGAGAGUACCCGGAGAAAAAGCAUCGGCUAACUCCGUGCCAGCAGCCGCGGUAAUACGGAGGAUGCGAGCGUUAUCCGGAUUUAUUGGGUUUAAAGGGUGCGCAGGCGGAAGCGCAAGUCAGCGGUAAAAUUGAGAGGCUCAACCUCUUCCCGCCGUUGAAACUGCGUUUCUUGAGUGGGCGAGAAGUACGCGGAAUGCGUGGUGUAGCGGUGAAAUGCAUAGAUAUCACGCAGAACUCCGAUUGCGAAGGCAGCGUACCGGCGCCCAACUGACGCUCAUGCACGAAAGCGUGGGUAUCGAACAGGAUUAGAUACCCUGGUAGUCCACGCAGUAAACGAUGAAUACUCGCUGUCCGGGGAGAUUGGUCUCUGGGCGGCCAAGCGAAAGCGUUAAGUAUUCCACCUGGGGAGUACGCCGGCAACGGUGAAACUCAAAGGAAUUGACGGGGGCCCGCACAAGCGGAGGAACAUGUGGUUUAAUUCGAUGAUACGCGAGGAACCUUACCCGGGCUCAAACGACGGAUGAAUACUUUUGAAAGGAGGUAGUCCUUCGGGACAUCCGUCGAGGUGCUGCAUGGUUGUCGUCAGCUCGUGCCGUGAGGUGUCGGCUUAAGUGCCAUAACGAGCGCAACCCCCAUCGCCAGUUGCCAACAGGUAAAGCUGGGAACUCUGGCGAGACUGCCGGCGCAAGCUGUGAGGAAGGCGGGGAUGACGUCAAAUCAGCACGGCCCUUACGUCCGGGGCGACACACGUGUUACAAUGGCAGGUACAGAGAGAUGCGACACGGCGACGUGGAGCGGAACUGUCAAAACCUGUCUCAGUUCGGAUCGGAGUCUGCAACCCGACUCCGUGAAGCUGGAUUCGCUAGUAAUCGCGCAUCAGCCAUGGCGCGGUGAAUACGUUCCCGGGCCUUGUACUCACCGCCCGUCAAG
rnacentral:rRNA from 1 species